GAUGAACGCUAGCGGCAGGCCUAACACAUGCAAGUCGAGGGGUAACUAGAGUGAUAGCAAUAUUACUUUGGCUAGACCGGCGCACGGGUGCGUAACACGUAUGCAACCUACCUUAUACUGGGGAAUAACUUCGAGAAAUCGGCGCUAAUACCCCAUAACAUUGCGAAGAGGCAUCUCUUUGCAAUUAAAGCUCCGGCGGUAUAAGAUGGGCAUGCGUCCAAUUAGCUAGUUGGUGAGGUAACGGCUCACCAAGGCUACGGUUGGUAGGGGUUCUGAGAGGAUGAUCCCCCACACUGGAACUGAGACACGGACCAGACUCCUACGGGAGGCAGCAGUGAGGAAUAUUGCGCAAUGGACGAAAGUCUGACGCAGCCAUGCCGCGUGCAGGAUGACGGCCCUAUGGGUUGUAAACUGCUUUUGUACGGGAAUAAACCCUUCUACGUGUAGGAGGCUGAAGGUACCGUAAGAAUAAGCACCGGCUAACUCCGUGCCAGCAGCCGCCGUAAUAC
rnacentral:rRNA from 1 species